UUGAACGCUGGCGGCAGGCCUAACACAUGCAAGUCGAGCGGUAACACAGAGAGCUUGCUCUCGGGUGACGAGCGGCGGACGGGUGAGUAAUGUCUGGGAAACUGCCUGAUGGAGGGGGAUAACUACUGGAAACGGUAGCUAAUACCGCAUAACGUCGCAAGACCAAAGUGGGGGACCUUCGGGCAUCAUGCCAUCAGAUGUGCCCAGAUGGGAUUAGCUAGUAGGUGGGGUAACGGCUCACCUAGGCGACGAUCCCUAGCUGGUCUGAGAGGAUGACCAGCCACACUGGAACUGAGACACGGUCCAGACUCCUACGGGAGGCAGCAGUGGGGAAUAUUGCACAAUGGGCGCAAGCCUGAUGCAGCCAUGCCGCGUGUGUGAAGAAGGCCUUCGGGUUGUAAAGCACUUUCAGCGGGGAGGAAGGCGGUGAGGUUAAUAACCUCAUCGAUUGACGUUACCCGCAGAAGAAGCACCGGCUAACUCCGUGCCAGCAGCCGCGGUAAUACGGAGGGUGCAAGCGUUAAUCGGAAUUACUGGGCGUAAAGCGCACGCAGGCGGUCUGUCAAGUCGGAUGUGAAAUCCCCGGGCUCAACCUGGGAACUGCAUUCGAAACUGGCAGGCUAGAGUCUUGUAGAGGGGGGUAGAAUUCCAGGUGUAGCGGUGAAAUGCGUAGAGAUCUGGAGGAAUACCGGUGGCGAAGGCGGCCCCCUGGACAAAGACUGACGCUCAGGUGCGAAAGCGUGGGGAGCAAACAGGAUUAGAUACCCUGGUAGUCCACGCCGUAAACGAUGUCGAUUUGGAGGUUGUGCCCUUGAGGCGUGGCUUCCGGAGCUAACGCGUUAAAUCGACCGCCUGGGGAGUACGGCCGCAAGGUUAAAACUCAAAUGAAUUGACGGGGGCCCGCACAAGCGGUGGAGCAUGUGGUUUAAUUCGAUGCAACGCGAAGAACCUUACCUGGUCUUGACAUCCACAGAACUUUCCAGAGAUGGAUUGGUGCCUUCGGGAACUGUGAGACAGGUGCUGCAUGGCUGUCGUCAGCUCGUGUUGUGAAAUGUUGGGUUAAGUCCCGCAACGAGCGCAACCCUUAUCCUUUGUUGCCAGCGGUUAGGCCGGGAACUCAAAGGAGACUGCCAGUGAUAAACUGGAGGAAGGUGGGGAUGACGUCAAGUCAUCAUGGCCCUUACGACCAGGGCUACACACGUGCUACAAUGGCAUAUACAAAGAGAAGCGACCUCGCGAGAGCAAGCGGACCUCAUAAAGUAUGUCGUAGUCCGGAUUGGAGUCUGCAACUCGACUCCAUGAAGUCGGAAUCGCUAGUAAUCGUAGAUCAGAAUGCUACGGUGAAUACGUUCCCGGGCCUUGUACACACCGCCCGUCACACCAUGGGAGUGGGUUGCAAAAGAAGUAGGUAGCUUAACCUUCGGGAGGGCGCUUACCACUUUGUGAUUCAUGACUGGGGUG
rnacentral:rRNA from 1 species